rnacentral:rRNA from 1 species
AUACAGAGGGUGCAAGCGUUAAUCGGAAUUACUGGGCGUAAAGGGUGCGUAGGCGGCAUGUUAAGUCAGAUGUGAAAGCCCUGGGCUCAACCUAGGAACUGCAUUUGAAACUGGCAAGCUAGAGUAUGGUAGAGGAAAGUGGAAUUUCCGGUGUAGCGGUGAAAUGCGUAGAUAUCGGAAGGAACACCAGUGGCGAAGGCGGCUUUCUGGACCAUUACUGACGCUGAGGCACGAAAGCGUGGGGAGCAAACAGGAUUAGAUACCCUAGUAGUCC